AUUGAACGCUGGCGGCAUGCCUUACACAUGCAAGUCGAACGGUAACAGGUCUUCGGAUGCUGACGAGUGGCGAACGGGUGAGUAAUACAUCGGAACGUGCCCGAUCGUGGGGGAUAACGCAGCGAAAGCUGUGCUAAUACCGCAUACGAUCUACGGAUGAAAGCGGGGGAUCGCAAGACCUCGCGCGGACGGAGCGGCCGAUGGCAGAUUAGGUAGUUGGUGGGAUAAAAGCUUACCAAGCCGACGAUCUGUAGCUGGUCUGAGAGGACGACCAGCCACACUGGGACUGAGACACGGCCCAGACUCCUGCGGGAGGCAGCAGUGGGGAAUGUUGGACAAUGGGCGCAAGCCUGAUCCAGCCAUGCCGCGUGCAGGAUGAAGGCCUUCGGGUUGUAAACUGCUUUUGUACGGAACGAAAAAGCUCUCUCUAAUACAGGGGGUGAAUGACGGUACCGUAAGAAUAAGCACCGGCUAACUACGUG
rnacentral:rRNA from 1 species